GAUGAACGCUAGCGGCAGGCCUAAUACAUGCAAGUCGAGGGGUAGAAGAGGCUUGCUUCUUUGAGACCGGCGCACGGGUGCGUAACGCGUAUGCAACCUACCUUCAUCUGGGGGAUAGCCCGGAGAAAUCCGGAUUAAUACCGCAUAAAAUCACAGGAUGGCAUUAUCCAAUGAUCAAACAUUUAUGGGAUGGAGAUGGGCAUGCGUGUCAUUAGCUAGUUGGCGGGGUAACGGCCCACCAAGGCGACGAUGACUAGGGGAUCUGAGAGGAUGGCCCCCCACACUGGUACUGAGACACGGACCAGACUCCUACGGGAGGCAGCAGUAAGGAAUAUUGGUCAAUGGAGGCAACUCUGAACCAGCCAUGCCGCGUGCAGGAAGACUGCCCUAUGGGUUGUAAACUGCUUUUAUUCGGGAAUAAACCUUAUUACGUGUAAUAAGCUGAAUGUACCGAAGGAAUAAGGAUCGGCUAACCCCGUGCCAGCCGCCGCAGUAACAC
rnacentral:rRNA from 1 species